rnacentral:rRNA from 1 species
UACAGAGGUGGCAAGCGUUGUUCGGAAUUACUGGGCGUAAAGGGUUCGUAGGUGGCCAACUCAGUCAGACGUGAAAUCCCUCAGCUCAACUGGGGAACUGCGUCUGAUACUAGAUGGCUCGAGUGCAGGAGAGGAACGCGGAAUUCCAGGUGUAGCGGUGAAAUGCGUAGAUAUCUGGAGGAACACCGGUGGCGAAGGCGGCGUUCUGGACUGCAACUGACACUGAGGAACGAAAGCCAGGGGAGCAAACGGG